AUAUUCAAUGUAUUAAGGUUGGCCUCCUCAGUUUGGUUUCUUAAAUAUUCUUAUUCUUCAAUUUUCUACCACUUACAGGCCUGCUAACAAUAAUAUGAUUCCUUUAUGUGCAAUUUAGUCUAAAGAAAUGACAUUUUACCUAUGUUAUAUGUCACCUCCAAACCCGUCACAGUAUUAUCAACUUUUAUAAUAUUGUUAACGACCUCUGUUGUUGUUGUACUCUCCUAUUACAAAGCCUCAAAUUUUUAAUUUUUUUUUUAAACAGAUAGCUGCAGAGUAUAUAGAAAACACACUCACUAUUGAUCAAGAUAGCUACCCCCACAUUUGCAUACUCUUGGGGAGAAUUGUUAUACAUAGUGCAAGUCAUCUACACUCUGUAGACAGCCAGAGGUAUAUUGUUGAGUCAAUUCACUGUUAAACACGUGCAAAUGUACAUUUAUAUCUGCAUUUGAACAUCGCAAUUUCAAAGCUGAAGAGACCAUCAGAACAUUUCAGCACAAUCAACCUAAACUCUUAUGUUUCAACAUCAAAAUUCGUCUGACGAAGUACAGAACGACUGCAACAAGCCUUGAAUCUGAAUCUCCGCUACAUUAAACCUUAUUCUCCGCAUUCAACUACUGCCAAACAACUUCGGAAAUUCAAAGAAUCAAUUGAAGGUAUAGUUAAUCUUCAAAUGUUACCAUAUGUACAACUGUUAUAUUCAGCUUUCCUGUCUGAUGCACAUGUAGCAAUACAGAUGAGAUUUAACAGAGAUUUUCAUUCUGUAAAGACUGCCUGAGAUUUAGCGCAGAUGCUUUUCAUGAAGAUCUCCAUCAGCACCAAAAGCUUUAAUAUUUAGUUGUACAAUAUCAUUAUCCUCCGCUUCCAAAGCUUGUACCAUUUUUUAGAUCACUCACGCAUUCACGGCACCAUUUGUAGCAGCUUCUUCCUCCUGAAUUGAUACUCUACUUUCCAACUCUUUCAACUUUUCCAAAUACAACUUCAACUUUGCCUCAACUUCAGCUUUUUCAUUUUUUAGCUCCUCAUUUUUCUUCUGCAUAUCCUUCAAUCAAUUCUCCAUUGGUUAAAGGAUGUGCAAAAGAAAAAUGAGAAGCUAAAAAAUGAAGAAGCUGAAGUUCACGCAAAACUGAAGAUGUAUUUGGAAAACUUGAAAGAGUGGGAAAGUACAAUAUCAAUUCAGGAGGAAGAAGCUGCUAGAAAUGGUGCCGUGAAUGCGUGACUGAUCCAAAAAAAGGUACAAGCUUUGCGAGCAGACGAUAAUGAUAUUGUACAACAGAAUACUAAAGCUUUUGCUGCUCAUGGAGAUCUUCAAGAAAACCAAUUGUCACCACCUAGGCCUCUAUUGGUUCACUCAACUGCAAAUGGAAAUGGAAAUGGAAGUGAUAAAUGAACACAUGAAGCUGCAGGCAGAGGUAACACAGACUUCAUUUGUACAAAAAUGAAUCUGGUUAAUUGUCCUGAUGUCCGGACAUUACAUCCCAUGCUUUAUGCUGGUAGUUCUGCUUCACUCAAUACCAAUGUUUCCAACAUACAAAAGAAAAUGCGCCAUUCAGAGCAACCAGGUACAGAUGAUUUAUCACGCUUAUUCUUACAUUUCCUUUGUUACUUCUCACAUUCAACCCACAUCUCAAGUUAGCACUAAUGAUUUACUCAAUUUCUAAAUGUUUUUACAUCCAUUGUUCAACAUAUAUUGCAAAUGAAGAAAAUCUAAAUUAUAUUAUUUUUGUUAUACCAAUAGAGCAGUAGUAAUCUGUCUGUCUUUGUCAACUUACUAUUUUGGCUACCAUA